rnacentral:rRNA from 1 species
GUUGUGAAAUACCAUCCAGUACAUGGUCAUACCAUCCUAAAAAACACUGAUAAUAGGAAGCUAUAGUGUCAUAAAGUACAGAAUCGUACAGGUAAGAAAAUUAAUCAUGUCUGGGAGAUAAGAAAAAAAUCAAAUAGUUAUCAUCAGCCUCUUGCACACCAAAUUGAUCUGCUUUUUUUGUUGCACCUGAGACAAAUCUCUUUACAUAUAAACAUUGAUUUCAAACCAUAUGAGCUUUUCAAAGAGACACGGUUCCUCAAGCAGUGUAAGUGCUGCAAAAUGAAAAUUCAGCAUGUCAGGAUCAAGCCAAAGGAUAAGAAAAUGCAAAAACAUAAGUCUUUUGGGUAUCCAAAAACCAUGGUAGCUUCAAGUGCUACCAGAAAUAGGUUGAGCCUGUUCAAAAACAGUGGGAUAUAAUCGGUUUCCAGUAAGUGGCACAAAGUUCCUGAUUGCCUUGCCCACUAAUUUGUGUUGAGGAAGCAAGCACAAACCCGUACAAAUGCAUUAUUGUUACAUGUGUUCUAUCGGUAUCGCAAAAAAUUAAACCAUGUACGACAACCCUCUUUAAAAGUUCUCAUAUUAAUCCUGGUUGUGGCCAUUUGUGGGAACAUGAUUUAGAAUAUUUAAUAUCCUAGAAGUUUACAACAAAUGAAGCUCAUAUUUUUAUUUUUUUGACAACUACGAUUGUAGUUAUAUCUGAUCAUGCUUGAGGCUCAUAUUUGAUUUCCUACCCUGCAAUUUACCUCUAGAUAGGAAAAGAGGAUACUAUUCAUCAUUGCGAAACUGCCAUGCAAAAUUAUAUGAGAUGACUACAAAAUAUUUUUCUAUGAUCAGACCCUGCGCAAGCGGGAGCUACAUGCACCGGGGUGCCUUUUUUUUACUCUGGAUUAUACGGAUAUAAAACUGGAAGGGUAACCACACGAAAAGAGAAUUUGGCUUUAAACGUUUGCAUAUAGUAUUCUUCUUUGGCAUGAAAGCUACUCCAAAGAGUAGUACGUAACAGUUAAAUGAGUAACCCUUAGAUGAAAAUGUAGUCAGAGCAGCCAUUUUAAACACUUGCAACAUGACCAAUGUGUAGUCUAAUUUCGUGAGCGGUCUAAUUAUCUCUCGGACAGUCCACAACAAAUUCAAACUAAUUCACAACUGAGAAUUAGCAGAUAACAAUAUUUGCUGCUACAAUAUAUUGGACUGAACUCAAACAAUAAGUGUUUUUUCUUCUUUAAAUACAGUUGGUAUUUUCAUGCAACAUGGAUGAAAUGAUGAAUAGAUUAAUUCAGCGUUGAGAUCAUAAUGAAGCUUGUUGAGGAAAUAGAUAUUUGGACAUUACAACUACAUUUGUGUAUCCCUAAAAUACUUGGGAAAAUCAAAAUCUUCAAGACGUACUAAAUCUAUCUUUUCACCCUUGAGAUCAUAAUCCACAUAUUAUCCCAUAUACAAUACACAUUUGUUGAUCACAGUUAUAAUUUAGAUAGUGAGCACCCAACAAAACUAAUUCAAUAGGUAGCUCCAAACUGAAAACUAAAAGCAAAACAUAAUGCGUACAUCUUUUAGGAAACAAUUGGGUAGAAACAAUUUAGUUUUGUUAAGUUUGAUGUAAAUCUUUUUGGAAGGACUCCAUAUCAUGGCUCCUGAGAUCUGAGAAAUUUCGACUUUGUGAACCCAAGCUUUGGUUUUGAGGCAUUAUGUAUCUCAUUAAUCUGUAUUUAUUUUUGUAUCUGACGUGAUGUUUCUGUCAAUACCAAGGCGUCCUGUGGUGACUUGGGGUCAAUCUAAAGCUUAGCUAAUCCAUCCUAAAGUAGAAUUUUACUUGGAAAUAAAAGAAUGGAUAAUCACAUAAGAGGUACAUGGUCAUGCAGAUAUUUGUUGCACCAACAUGACGAUAGCCUAAAAACAGAAGGACCUCCAUAAUCUAAUUACACUAAAUCACAAUCAUAUAACUGACACAUACUGAGCCAAAAAAUAAUAUUAUACAUACUUGAUUUGCAAAUUGCAAAUAUCAAUACAAAUCAUAUUAUAAAUACACAAUAUGCAAAGAACAGUAAGGAGCUGCGGAUGGCGCAUAGUAUUUUUUCGAUUUACUAUUUAUUAGAUUUUAAUAUAAAAGACAGAAUAUCAUGUUACUUUCUACAUGGCCUUUUUUGCAAAAAAAAAAUGGUUUUUUAUAUAUAAUUCACAGUAAAUGUUUUAGGACCUUAGGGAGACACUGCAAAAUGAAAAUUCAGCGUGUCAGGAUCAAGCCAAAGGAUAAGAAAAUGCAAAAACAUAAGUCUUUUGCGUAUCCAAAAAGCAUGGUAGCUUCAAGUGCUACCAGAAAUAGGUUGAUCCUGUUAAAAAACAGUGGGAUAU